GGCGGUGGCAUCAAAACAGUGCCCUCAUCAGUCAUCUAGUGUAAUUAUAGAGAACCGGAUUGAUCGAUUACCUUUUUUUUAUGAGCAAAGUUUGAUUGAAAGAAGGUUCGUUGUCGUUACAAGUAAUUCGUUCACUUUUCGAAUUUUUCUAAACGGUUAGCUCGCUAGAUACAUUUGAUUUAGAUAGCAAAUGUAUUGACCGUUGGGUUUAGUCGGUGACUACUUGUUAACAAGCUAGCUACAUUGCAAGCUAGCUAAUGCAGCAACUGGUGGUGCAGGGACUGAACAGUAGUCUUGUCGUUGCAGCUGGAUAGCACAGCAGAAUGGAACUUUGUUCUCUUUCUACAAGACUUUAUCAAGCAAGAGCACAAUCCUUGGAGCACAUUAGGUACGAGUCAAAUAUGGACCGAAAGAUGAUACGGAACGUUUUUGUGCAGAUGUUAUAACGAGGUAGCUAGCAAGCCAGGACAUUGGAUAAAUACAACAGCGUUGCAAGUGAAACACCUACAUUGCAGGUUGACAGCUACGCUUGGUCUUUCUGUGUGCGUGGAGUGCCUAUGGCGGAGUUUGGAGAGAACGACGGCUCAUCUCCAUCGAAUACUGGGGAUUCUGUGGCUUUGCCCUGUGAUCAAACAGACGGGAAGACGCAGUGCGAAGUAUCGGUCUUCAAUGGGGACUGUGGGAUACCGGCAAACAUGGUUGGAUCAGAAACGUUACCUGACAGCCCAGGGCUUGAAACAGCCAACAACUCCUCUGUCGGAUUGGAUUCCAAAUCUGGAAUACCACGCAGGAGCAGCAUUAUAAAGGAUGGCUCGAGGCAGCGCAGAGAGAGGAAGAAGACUGUUUCGUUCAGCAGCAUGCCCACUGAGAAGAAGAUCAGCAGUGCGAGCGACUGCAUCAACGCCAUGGUGGACGGCUCUGAACUGAAGAAGGUCCGCUCCAACUCCCGCGUUUACCACCGCUACUUCCUCCUGGACGCCGACAUGCAGUCUCUAAGGUGGGAACCUUCCAAAAAAGAGUCAGAGAAAGCCAAAAUUGAUGUCAAGUCCAUCAAAGAGGUGCGGACAGGGAAAAACACAGAAACGUUUAGGACCAACGGAAUAUAUGAUCAGAUAUCAGAGGACUGUGCCUUCUCGAUCAUCUAUGGGGAGAACUAUGAGUCUUUGGACUUGGUUGCAAACUCUGCCGAUAUGGCCAACAUAUGGGUGACCGGGCUUAGAUACCUGAUAUCCUAUGGGAAACACACACUGAAUAUGAUUGAGAGCAACCAGAACAACAUGCGCUCCUCCUGGCUCGGGGACCUCUUUGAGGAGGCUGAUGCCAACAACAGCAAGCACGUCAGUCUAUGUGCUGCCGUGCAGCUAAUUAAAAACCUAAACCCUGGACUCAAAAACGUUAAGAUUGAACUCAAGUUUAAGGAGUUUCACAAAUCUAAAGAUAAGGUGGGAUGUGGUGUGACGAAGGAGGAGUUCAUUGAAGUCUUUCAUGACCUUUGCACAAGACCAGAAAUGUAUUUCCUUCUUGUCCAGUUCUCUAGCAACAAGGAAUUUCUAGAUACCAAGGACUUAACUAUGUUUCUGGAGGCUGAGCAGGGUAUGGCACAAGUAAGUGAAGACACCAGUCUGGAGGUCAUUCAGAGUUAUGAACCUUCCAAAGAGGGGCAGCUCAAGGGCUGGCUCUCCCUUGAUGGGUUUACCAAUUAUCUCAUGUCGCCAGAGUGCCACAUCUUUGACCCGGAACAAAAAACAGUGUGUCAGGACAUGAACCAGCCCUUGUCCCACUAUUACAUCAACGCUUCCCACAACACAUACCUGAUCGAGGAUCAGUUUAGAGGCCCCUCUGACAUUACAGGGUACAUCCGUGCCCUCAAGAUGGGCUGUCGAAGUGUAGAACUAGAUGUCUGGGAUGGACCAGAUAAUGAGCCUGUCAUUUACACUGGCCACACAAUGACCUCGCAGAUAGUCUUCUGCAGUGUCUGUGACGUCAUCAACAAAUAUGCCUUUGUUGCAUCUGACUUUCCCCUGAUAUUGUGUCUGGAGAACCACUGCUCCUUAAAGCAGCAGAGGGUCAUGUUUCAGCAAUUGAAAAAGAUUCUUGGUGACAAGAUUUACAUGGUUCCACCUUCACCUGAAGACAGCUACCUGCCCUCACCCUUUGACCUCAAGUGUAAGAUCCUGCUGAAGGGGAAGAAGCUGGGCACAACCUGCAUUAGCUCGGAGGGUGAAGUGACUGAUGAGGAUGAGGGGGCUGAGAUGUCACAAAGAAUGAACAUUGAAGCCGACGAACAGCAGAGCAUCCCACUGAAAAAGUUCCAGCUGUCCAAGGACCUCUCUGACCUGGUAACGUUGUGUAAAUCGAUUGCGUUCAAAGACUUCCCAACAGCUUUCCAAAGCCAGAAGCACUGGGAACUUUGCUCGUUCAAUGAGGUCUUUGCCAGUCGCUGUGCCAAUGACUUUCCAGGCGACUUUGUUAACUACAACAAGAAGUUAUUGGCGAGAGUCUACCCCAGCCCAAUGCGGAUCGACUCUAGUAACAUGAACCCUCAGGACUUCUGGAAGUGUGGUUGCCAGAUCGUGGCAAUGAACUACCAGACCCCCGGCCUGAUGAUGGACCUAAACAUUGGCUGGUUCCGUCAGAAUGGGAACUGUGGGUAUGUGCUGCGACCAGCCAUAAUGAGGGAGCAGGUGUCAUAUUUCAGUGCCAACACUAAAGACUCAGUACCUGGUGUGUCUCCUCAGCUCUUGCACAUAAAGAUCAUAAGUGGACAAAACUUCCCCAAACCCAAAGGCUCAGGCUCCAAAGGAGAUGUUGUUGACCCUUAUGUCUAUGUGGAGAUCCAUGGCAUCCCUGCUGAUUGUGCAGAGCAAAGGACUAAAACUGUCAAUCAGAAUGGGGAGAACCCACUGUUUGAUGAAAGCUUUGAGUUUCAGAUAAACCUACCUGAGCUAGCCAUGGUGCGCUUCGUGGUGCUUGAUGAUGACUACAUUGGCGACGAGUUCAUCGGCCAGUACACAAUCCCCUUCGAGUGUCUCCAGCCGGGAUUCCGGCACAUACCGUUACAAUCCCUAACGGGGGAAGUACUUCCCCACGCCUGGCUAUUCGUCCAUGUGGCCAUCACCAACCGAAGGGGCGGGGGCAAGCCUCACAAGAGGGGACUCUCUGUGCGUAAGGGCAAGAGAAGUCGGGAGUACGCCACCAUGAGAGUGCUGGUCAUCAAGGCUGUGGACGACAUCUUCAAGACAGCCAUACUGCCACUGAGGGAAGCCACCGACCUCAGAGAAAACAUGCAGAAUGCCAUAGUGCCCUUCAAGGAACUGUGUGGCCUCUCGGCAGUGGCCAACCUGAAGCAGUGCAUCCUGGCCCUGUCCUCCCGGCUGACGGGGGCUGACAACAACCCCCUCCUGGUGUUCAACCUCAAGGACCAGUACCCCACCAUGGAGCCCCAGGGCCUGCUACCAGAUGUCCUGAAGAAGGUGGUCACUGCCUAUGACAUGAACCCCCACACAGAGCAUGACGGUAAUGUGCUAACUAACCUGCGAACAGAUGAGUCGUGUCUCACUCACUGAGAGUCAUGGGCAGCCGUCAGUGAAGUUUGGAUCAUGAGUUAAGUGUUAGACAUUGACUCUUGCGUGUCCUCAGCAAUUUUGAUGAAAAUAUGAAGUGAAAGAAGAUCAAGUCGUGUACAGUUUAUGUAGAAGGACUGAGAAAAUGAAUAAAUAUAAUUAUUGCUGACAUGCCCCCUGCCUGUGCUUCUCACAGAAACCACUUCAUGUUACAUUUUAUUCCCCCAACAUUUUCCCUGGUUGCCACUAUUCUUGCUCAUCCAAAUACAGUUGAAGUCGGAAGUUUACAUACACCUUAGCCAAAUACAUGUUGUGUUCUUUGGCUCGCAAGUCUCCCCCUUUUUCCUCCAAACAUAACGAUGGUCAUUAUGGUCAAACAGUUCUAUUUUUGUUUCAUCAGACUAGAGGACAUCUCUCCAAAAAGUACGAUCUUUGUCCCCAUGUGCAGUUGCAAACCGUAGUCUGGCUUUUUUAUAGCGGUUUUGGAGCAGUGGCUUCUUCCUUGCUGAGUGGCCUUUCAGGUUAUGUCGGCAUAGGACUCGUUUUUUACUGUGGAUAUAGAUACUUUUGUACCUGUUUCCUCCAGCAUCUUCACAAGGUCCUUUGCUGUUCUUCUGGGAUUGAUUUGCGCUUUUCGCACCAAAGUGCAUUCUUUUCUCACCACAGAACGCAUCUCCAUCCUGAGCGGUAUGACAGCUGCGUGGUCCCAUGGUGCUUAUACUUGCGUUCUAUUGUUUGUACAGAGGAACGUGGUACCUUCAGGUGUUUGGAAAUUGCUCCCAAGGAUGAACCAGACUUGUGGAGGUCUACAAUUUUUUUUCUGAGGUCUUGGCUGAUUUAUUUAGAUUUUCCCAUGAUCAAGCAAAGAGGCACUGAGUUUGAAGGUAGGCCUUGAAAUACAUCCGCAGGUACACCUCCAAUUGACUCAAAUGAUAUCAAUUAGCUUACCAGACGCUUCUAAAGCCAUGACAUAAUUUUCUGGAAUUUUCCAAGCUGUUUAAAGGCACAGUCAACUCAGUGUAUGUAAACUUCUGACGCAUUGGAUUUGUGAUACAGUGAAUUAUAAAUGAAAUAAUCUGUCUGUAAACAAUUGUUGGAAAAAUGACUUGUCAUGCACAAAGUAGAUGUCCUAACCGACUUGCCAAAACUAUAGUUUGUUAACAAGAAAUUUGUGGAGUGGUUGAAAAAUGAGUUUUAAUGACUCCAACAUAAUUGUAUGUAAACUUCUGACUUCAACUGUAUGUAAUCUGUCUCAUCACAAUUGAAGUCACUCCAAGUUACCCUACAAUUGACCCUGUGCACUCGAGGUGAAUUGCUGAGCGGUAUUGUGCUCAACCAUGACGCUGCUAAAAACUCUGCGUUUAAAAUGGUGCAUUUCAGAAUUUUUAGGAGUUGAGAAAUAAAUAAGUAUGAAUGGAAAGCCGGGAUCCACCUCUUUUUAAAAAAUGCCAUUUUCCCCUGCGAUUGAAUGAAGACUUGUUGUGCAUUGACUGCUUGUCAGGUUGCAGGUUUCCCUCCCUAUGGCAGUCAUAACUUGAAUGCACUUUGAGAGGAACAUUUCUCUCAUAGGACACACAACAUCAAACCGACUAGAGGGCUGGAGUCACUGUUUGAAACCAUCUCCAUUUUCACUGCCUGAAGUGGAACGCCCAGCCCAGCAGUCCACCAUGGACAAGCUGUCACAGACACACAGUCACAGUGCUGCCGAUCCCCUUAGCGCCCGUCACAUCGCUCUCAAUGCUCCUAAAUAG